UACGUAGGGCGCAAGCGUUGUCCGGAAUUAUUGGGCGUAAAGAGCUCGUAGGCGGCUUGUCACGUCGGGUGUGAAAGCCCGGGGCUUAACCCCGGGUCUGCAUUCGAUACGGGCUAGCUAGAGUGUGGUAGGGGAGAGCGGAAUUCCUGGUGUAGCGGUGAAAUGCGCAGAUAUCAGGAGGAACACCGGUGGCGAAGGCGGAUCUCUGGGCCAUUACUGACGCUGAGGAGCGAAAGCGUGGGGAGCGAACAGG
rnacentral:rRNA from 1 species